rnacentral:rRNA from 1 species
GUGGGGAAUAUUGCGCAAUGGGGGAAACCCUGACGCAGCGACGCCGCGUGAGCGAAGAAGGCCUUAGGGUUGUAAAGCUCUGUUUUAAGGGACGAAUGUCGUGGGGAGUAAUAUGCUCUGCGAAUGACGGUACCUUAAGAGGAAGCCCCGGCUAACUACGUGCCAGCAGCCGCGGUAAGACGUAGGGGGCGAGCGUUGUCCGGAAUUACUGGGCGUAAAGAGCACGUAAGCGGGAACUUAAGUCAGGUGUGAAAGACCGGGGCUCAACUCCGGGGUUGCACUUGAAACUGGGGUUCUUGAGGGCAGGAGAGGAGAGCAGAAUUCCUGGUGUAGCGGUGAAAUGCGUAGAAAUCAGGAGGAAUACCAGUGGCGAAGGCGGCUUUCUGGACUGACCCUGACGCUGAGGUGCGAAAGCGUGGGUAGCAAACAGGAUUAGAAACCCCGGUAGUCC